rnacentral:rRNA from 1 species
AUGAAGGAUGCUGCUGUGAGCCAUGCCACCCCAUCAGCAAGCGUUGAAGUGGACGCUCCCGAGACGAACCUAGGCAAGGAAGAUUCCCGCUCUUCUGACACUGAUUCCAAGCGCAUGCGUGGUGGCACACCUGUGUCCACGACAGAAGCCGCUGAGGCGGCAGUUCAUAAGGAUAUGCCAUCUACAGGUGAGAGUCCUGGCACAACAGCUCCUGCCCCUGUCGGUGCAGAUACUGCUAAGGCGACCGUGCCGCGUGCUGGUCUUCCACCUAGGCGUCGCAGCCCCCACAAGCAACCAACAGUCAUACCCAACGCACCGGCUGUAGCUAGGAGUAGGAGAGACGAGUCUGGGUAUGUUCCUGCGUCCACACUGUUCCCGCCACCUGCCAAAAGCUAUGUGAUGGAGAAACCGCAAGACCGGAGCACAACUGAUGCAGGUGUCAAGCCGGGCACUAGUGACGCAGGUGAACGACCGGAGCAGACUGCGCCUUUACCCGCAGUGGAAAUCCCCAGCAUAAAUCUGCGCACUUCCAGGCUCCCAGUCAAUGUCGGUGUCCCCUACAGCCCAAACAAGAAGAUUGUCAUGAAAGCUGCUGCCGAUACCACUGACAACACGCCCCCCUGCAAAUAA